GGAAGAGCAGAGCGGUGGGGUGGGGAGGCCGGCGGACCUGGGAUUGUCGCUGCAGCACUGUGUGCAGUGGCAAAGACUGGAGCCGCCUGGGUGCCCAUCAGUAGGGAGUAAAUAAAUACCAAAGCCUUCUGCAGUCUCCAGAGAGAACGAGGCCACUUACUACUCCAGGGAAUAUUGCGAGGAACCAGACCUCCCGGAUUCCCAGUCCCAUGGUACCAAACCCGACCAGUAAACAACGGCAACACUGAAAGCAAACUGAAACAUGGAGCUCAAGCGAGAGGAGGUGUGCGGCGGACGGCGGCUGCCACAGGGAGAGCACCGUGAGGGGAUCUCUGAGAAGGUGACGUUCGGUCUGGGGCGGGAAUGAGAAAAAGGAAAUAAGUACAAAGAAGGCAAGGAUGGGACAGUCUCUGGCUGCAGGAAGAGCCAUUGCAAAGGCCCUGGGGUCACAGUAAGCUUCGCUAUGGGAGAAACGGAAUGGUGGCCAGUGUGGCUAGAGCUUGGAGAGCCAGAGUGAGAGGAGAGCCAGGUGGGGAGUCGAGCCUGUGGUGCUCUGGACUUGGUAAGGAGUCCAGACGAGGAAACUGAGGCUCAGAGAGGUUCUAAGUCAUUUGUCCAAGGUCACAUAUUAAACAGUGGCUGAACCGGGCUUCUGGCCUGGGUUCCUGAAGCCACCAGUCCUUCACCAUCCAUAAGGUGGCACAGGGCAGAAACAUCAGACAUGCGUUUCCUUCCAGCACAGCCUGUGUGCAGAGAGCAAUGCUGUUUUUUUUUUUUUUAUUGCACAGAGACAUGCAUGUGUCCCACAGAAAGAGCACAGAGCAUGCUCCCCACGUGGAUGCCUCCCCUGUGACCAGCACCCAGAUGAGCCCCCGCGGUCUCCUCCAGGAUGGAAAACCGGUGUGGCAUCACCACCCAACGGAGUAUUGUGCAGCCGCAGGAAGGGACAUGGAUGGACCUCAAAGCCACGCCGAGAGCGAGGAGCCAGUCACGAGGGCGCCUGCGGGAAGAUCCCACUGAUGUGCACCACCCGGAAGAGGUGGUUACAGAGACGGAGAGGGCAGUGGUGCUCCGGGGCUGGGGUAGGGGGAUGGGAGCCGCUGCUGAGGCGCGUGGGGCUUCUUCUGGGGGGUUACGAUGAUCUGUGGGUGCACCAGAGAUCAUGGAAUUGCAUGCCCGGGAAGAGUGGACUUUAUCGUGUGUGAAUUAUAUCUCAAUGAGGUGGUCAUUUAAAAAAUAAAAAGGAAAGGGUGAAAUGGCUGAGGCUGCUCUGGGACUUUUAGAAAACGCUAGCCUCACUGUGAACGGAAGGACCUUGUCUUCCCGUGCCUCGAUGUCUCUGUCCGUGAAAUGGGCUACUCAAGAGUCGAAGGGACUCAGCGGGCCUUUGGGGGACUCCGAGAGGCGAUGCCAAUGGAAGCUGAGCCCACGGCUGGCACACGGCUGGCACUUGGGAGAAGUCGUGAUGACAAACGAUAAAGGGUCCCAGGGCGGCGAGGUGUGAGCCACGUUCCACUUGAGUCCCCUGCCCUGGGGCUGCUCUGUUCCUCUCUCUAGAUGUCAGGAGUUUAUCUGAAAAAUGGGUUCACAACGGCGCCCACCUCGAAGGCUGUGGUAACAAUGACUUAGCAGCUCCCGGCGCACAGCAGGUGCGACAUAGUUGCUGUAUCACUCUGGGCAUUUCCUCGGGCCUGCUGGUGCUGCCCCUGCCUCCACUGUCCACAGAACAGCAAUGAUGCCAACAUUAACAGGGAGCAGGAGGCGACCACAGCAGGGAAGGGCAGGGAUGGCGCGAGGUGGGAGGACCGGGGAGGAGAGCGGGGAGGCUGGGAGCUCAGCCCACCCUGGUCCGCUGUCACUCUGUACCCGGACCACUUCAGUAGGUCCUCACUGCGGCCACCCUAUCCCCAUCCUACUCAGCGUGCACUCACACACACCACACACUCACACACACACAUGCCAUUGUCCACAUGCAGCUAGAAGGAAUUUGUCUGACCACAUCCCCCCUCUGCCUACAAUUCUCCAUGGUUCCCCCCUCCCUCAGAGUAAAAGCCAAAGAUCCUACAAGGUCAUCCACUGUUGGCAGCCUUGUUAUGUCUCUGACCUCUCCCUCACUCUUGCCCUAUGCAUGGCUCUCCAGUGGCACUGGCUUCCUCACCGCUCCCCAGAGCACAAGGUGCCCUCCUGCCUCAGGACCUCUGCACAUGCUACUCUCUCUGCUGGACCAUUCUCCUCGCAGAUCUCCCCAGGCUUGCUUCCUGGCUUGCUCUGGGUCUGCUUGGUUUGGAAGCCGUUUGACUGUGACCCU